AAUCUGCCUGUAAGACGGGGAUAACUCCGGGAAACCGGGGCUAAUACCGGAUAAUAAGAGAAUAAGCAUUUCUUCUUUUUGAAAGUCUGUUUCGGCUGACACUUACAGAUGAGCCCGCGGCGCAUUAGCUAGUUGGUGAGGUAACGGCUCACCAAGGCGACUAUGCGUAGCCGACCUGAGAGGGUGAUCGGCCACACUGGGACUGAGACACGGCCCAGACUCCUACGGGAGGCAGCAUUAGGGAAUCUUCGGCAAUGGGCGAAAGCCUGACCGAGCAACGCCGCGUGAGCGAUGAAGGCCUUCGGGUCGUAAAGCUCUGUUGUUAGAGAAGAACAAGUACGAGAGUAACUGCUCGUACCUUGACGGUACCUAACCAGAAAGCCACGGCUAACUACGUGCCAGCAGCCGCGGUAAUACGUAUGUGGCAAGCGUUAUCCGGAAUUAUUGGGCGUAAAGCGCGCGCAGGCGGUCUCUUAUUUCUGAUGUGAAAGCCCACGGCUCUUCCGUGGAGGGUCAUUGGAAACUGGGAGACUUGAGUGCAUUGAAAUAAAAGUGGAAUU
rnacentral:rRNA from 1 species